GGAUUCCUCCUGAGUCAGGCAGAGGAGAGGAAGCAGGCAGAGCAGCAGGGAAAGGAUCUGUUUGCAGAAAUGGGCCCGUAUUCCUCUGAGGCAGAGAGAACUCCCUUGGACAUCAGAGAGAGGCCACAGGGUGACGAUAGGAUGUUGGCAAGACCUCGUUCAUCCUUUCAUGGCUGUGGAGGGGAAGCGGCAGCUGUGGAACCAGAUCAGGUA